GUGUCUGUCGUUCAGUGGUAGGACUGCAGUCUCCAAAACUGCAAACGGAUGUUCGAUUCGUCCCAGGCGCG
rnacentral:tRNA from 1 species